CAUUGUCUAAUGCUAUAUAUAUAUAUAGAGGAGGUUGCAUCAAGCAACCUAUCCCCAUUCACAUUAUUCUGAUUAUUUUCUCUUCUUUUGCUCUCUUCUCUCUUUACUGGCUUCCCCUCUCUUUGCUUAUAUUAGUUCCUCCCUUUAUUUCUAACAACAAACAAUUUUUUUUCUUUCUAAAAGCUCUUAUUUUCACUUUUAAUUAACAGUAGCUUUUAAGACAAAAAAAAGUUAGACACAACCUAAACAUGAAAGGAAGUGUGCGGAUCAAACGUAAAUAAAAGGGAUUUGCCAAUUCGGGAAUGUCGACAACACUAGAGCAUCGUUCUCAUGAUAGAGGGAUGAUAUCAAAAUUGCUUUGAAAUACAAUUCUUAAGCUAGAAAACGAAGAGAUGAAAUCAUACAUGAAUCUCUCAUUCCUUCGAUUUAGAAUGAAAUUCUAACUUUGGCAUUUUGGCUUUAAAGCCGUAUAACCUUUCAUCUUAAUGAAGACUCCUAAAGCGGUGUAUUUAUUAAUUGGCACCUAAAAAUCUUUCACAAUGCAAAGAGCCGAUCUUUCACAAUGAAACAACUAGGAUUCAAACCUGGGCAAGAUUUUAGUAAAGGUACAAGAGCCUCAGCACAUGUAAAUAUUUUGCAAGAUUCUAGAACGCUUGCACGUGCUUGAAAGAAUGAGUGGUUCGCCUCUUUAAAAUAGAGAAAGUAUUUUCUGCUUACGAAUGAGUCGGUGCAAAGAAGUUUGGCUUAAUCCAAACAUCCAGGCUGACCAGGAGAAGCAACCACCAACAACCCACAAUUAUAAAUGCUUGUAAAACCCGGAAAAUGUGG
rnacentral:lncRNA from 1 species